rnacentral:rRNA from 1 species
GUGGGGAAUCUUCCGCAAUGGACGAAAGUCUGACGGAGCAACGCCGCGUGAGUGAUGAAGGUCUUCGGAUUGUAAAGCUCUGUUAAUCGGGACGAAAGAGCCUAGUGUGAAUAAUGCUAGGAAGUGACGGUACCGGAAUAGAAAGCCACGGCUAACUACGUGCCAGCAGCCGCGGUAAUACGUAGGUGGCAAGCGUUGUCCGGAAUUAUUGGGCGUAAAGCGCGCGCAGGCGGAUCUGCCAGUCUGUCUUAAAAGUUCGGGGCUUAACCCCGUGAUGGGAUGGAAACUACAGAUCUAGAGUAGCGGAGAGGAAAGUGGAAUUCCUAGUGUAGCGGUGAAAUGCGUAGAUAUUAGGAAGAACACCAGUGGCGAAGGCGACUUUCUGGACGAAAACUGACGCUGAGGCGCGAAAGCCAGGGGAGCGAACGGGAUUAGAAACCCGGGUAGUCC